CUUUUAUUAUUAUUAUUAUCAUUUAUUAUUUAAAUAUUAUUUGAAGGAAACAAUUGGCUUCUUCCAGUUCUUUUCUCUUAGCCCAUUUAUCACGGUAUGCUUCUCACAGGUAAGUUAUCAAAUCCCAGCUGUUAAGUAAACUCUGGGUUCCUUGUGUUAAAACAGAAUGUGUUAGAUUCUCCAUGAAGAUCAUAUACCUGCAUUUUCUGGAAAUUCCAACAGGUAUUGUACAGGCCUCGGCAGAGCAGCCCAAAUCACUCCCCCCCCCCCGCCAAUAAGCCAUGGGGAAAGGGGUUCGGGUGGAGCAGAUGAGUAUCCCUGUGUCCAGCUGUGACGUUUGCCCGUUUGUUUGAAAAUGUCUGUACAGUGGAGAGAGAAAGGGUUAAAAUGUAGACCAAUAGGAAAGUCGGAGGUGGAGCUUACCUGUUUAUAAAAGGGCUUAGCCUGAGGUUUGGGUGUGGGUAGUUGGUUGGUUUUAGUGGGUUGGUUGGUUGGGAAAGGCAGUUGGAAAAGCAGUUGGCAGGCAGUUGGAAAUAGAGAGACAGUUAGUGUAGUUGGUUCUUGUGUGAGGGGAGGUAGAAGAGAUAAAGACAGGAUAAAAUAAGACUAAGGAGGUAAAGAGUAACAACGUUUGGAAUUGUGCUGGUCCCGGGGGGAGGUUACCGUGAGGCGUGGUCAGAGUCCGGUCCUGGGUCGAGGGUCUGGAGGGGGGGAAGCGGGAUCCAAAGCAAGAAGCCGGGCGUGGACGGGAACUCUGGAAGAACAGGUCUGGGUGCUGGCAGAAACAGGUUUCCAACGACGUUGCUCCCGCAACCUGGGACUGGGCUGACUGGCCUUUAUUUCCUCUGAGGCCAGGGGCGGUGCCGGCCCACAGGUGACCCGCCUCUCCUGGCCUUAAUGCAAGCACUCCUCCUGAGAGAACUUAGUUCCCUCCGCCUCUCUGCCCUGAGUCUCUGCAGCUCAGGAGAGGCUGGAGGGUUAUUGGACCCAGGGGCAGCUUCACCUUCCCCUGACAGUGCUGGGAGAGGCGCACCUGCAGGCAAUGGGCUCUCAAUCACCUCCGGAGCCAGAGUUGAUACAUCUGGUGUCUGCUCCUGAGGAUCUGGCACAAGUGCAGGCCCUUCAGAUUCAAGCCCCUGCCCCGGCUCAGCCGGCCCUGGAGGCGGGGACUCCUGUGCAGGCUGGGACUCCUCAGGUUCAGAUUCUGAAUCAGAUUCCCAGGCCAUCACAGGAAUGCAGCUGAAGUUUGUUUGUGUCUGCAAUAAACUACACUCUUCUUUCUUAACUUGAGAACCUGACUUACCGGAGAGGGCCUGGUUGGUGGCAGCGAAUUAGUGGUGUACGGGUCAAUAGUCCAUGAGACGACCGGGGGCUCCGUACGAACGCCACACCAGCUUCUGUCAGCAGGGAAGCUCUGUCAUUGGUGGGAGAGCUUCACCCAUGAAGAAAACCCCUAGGCAUCUAAUGGCAGAUGGAGGAAGCUGCAACUGGUAGUUUUGCCACUGGCGGCAGCCAGCAGAAGCUUCCAGAAUCAGACAUUUCAGGGGCAAGGAGGGGGCUGGGCUGACACAGGGUCCUCUGGAUCCUGAGCCGGUCCUGCUGCCAUCAUGUGACAACUGCAGGCACAAUGCAGUCCACCGUACUAGCCUGGGAGCUGGGACACCAAAGGGGGCAUUAUUUCUGCAUCCACCUUCCACCCUGGCCAGUGCAGUGGCAGGGCAGUGGAUGUGGCCCUGCCUCUACCGCUCCAUCAAUCCCCACCGGUGCCAGUCGGGGGUUAGGAUUGCCGCCUAAAACACGGAUCAGGUUACUUAAAAGAAAGAUAUUUCUGAAAACAAAUUUACUUCAAAAUGGCAAAUACUAUGCAUGCCAUAACAAGGUAUGGUAUGAGAGAAUAGGAUGCAGAGAAGAAGGGCAAUACUGGUUGUUGCCAUAAGCACAAGCACCUCUCAAAAGCUUUCUAAGAAGCUAUAAAGGCCUGGAGCUAAAUUUCGAGUGAAGGAUCUUACUCAGUGAUUUCUCUGAGCUGUCCCAUUGGAGGAAAGAGAAGGUCUCCUGACACAAAGUCAGGGAGACUCAGAGAUGGAGGAACUUGCACAAUUUUAGUCUAAGUUAUACCCUUAAACUCAAGUGCUUUGCUGGCAACAUCUAACUUCAAAGGGCCUCUGAAUAACCCUUUUAAUAAUAGAUUAGUUUGUAAGCUCAGUAUUUGUUUCAUUUUUAUGUCUCUUCCCUGGUAAUAAUAUUAAUUUAAUAAUAUUAAAUUUAGGAACAAUCCUUUCUUGUUUCUUGGUUAUUCUUAAAUAAUGAACUGCCUCGAUUACAUGCCAGCAUUUCCUAAAGCUCCAAAGAUAUUUUCACUAUGUCUUCAUCAUAGCAUGUUGCCCAGUAAUAUUAAUAAUACUAGCUUAACCCGUCUCUUAAGGUCUUUCUUUACUGCUCUGGAGAUAGGAUUGAAGAAGAUGAACCUAGUUGCACUGGCAGACAGGGACCAUGGGCGUCUCGGUGAAAGGUUAGCUAUCUCAAAUUUAAUAUGAGAGUGAGUACAACUAAUACUUUUAUUCUUUUUCAAUAUUUCUACGAGAUCAUAAGCAACAACACGAUCAUGAAGCAAAGAUUAAUACCAAGCUUUUCAGGUAGCAAGAACUUGAAGGGUUCGUUUCAAACUAAGUGAAAUGAUGCAGUAGGCACCAGAACGUUGAUUUCUGGGGCUGCACUAUCUCUGAUGUCCAUGACAUGUGGCUUCCUUCUUCCACCAAAACAAUAGAGCUUUUUUAAUUUUGUGGGAAACAUUUUUCCCCUCAGCCAGCCUAAAACUGUUCGAGAAUUCUUCCUCCCCUCAAAGAAUAUUUGACAAAUCCUGCCCCUCCCCAUAAAUGGGAUGGAGAAUUUUGGGGAGUCCGUUCCCCAACCACAACCCAAGAGUUCACAUUUUCUAAACGGCAGCAACACUUCAUACAUUAUGUCUACAUGAGUGUCCAGCUCUGUAGUCUUCUUUAAAGCCUCUGGAUAAUGCUCCGCAAUGUUUUGCUGCAUUAGAGCAAAGGCCUAUCUAGUCUGUCAUUCUGUUUAGCCAAUCAGAAGACUCUGGUAAGUCCACAAUUCAGACAUGAAGGUAGAAGUCCCCUCCUGCUGUUGUUCCUGAUUGACAGGCACGCAGAUCUCAUCCCCAAAGCAGCAUGCAGCCAUCAUGACUAGUGGCUUUUUGUAGUGGCUACUGUUCUAAAUGAAUUUCUCUUGUUGUUGUUCUUGUUUAGUCGUUUAGUUGUGUCCGACUCUUCAUGACCCCAUGGACCAGAGCAUGCCAGGCACUGUCUUCCACUGCCUCCAGCAGUUUGGUCAAACUCAUGCUGGUAGCUUCAAGAACACUGUCCAAUCAUCUCGUCCUCUGUCAUCCCCUGCUCCUUCUGCCCUCAAUCUUUCCCAACAUCAGGGUCUUUUCCAGGGAACCUUCUCUUCUCAUGAGGUGGCCAAAGUAUUGGAGGCUCAGCUUCAGGAUCUGUCCUUCCAGUGAGCACUCAGGGCUGAUUUCCUUCAGAAUGGAUAGGUUUGAUCUUCUUGCAGUCCAUGGGACUCUCAAGAGUCUCCUCCAGCACCAUAAUUCAAAAGCAUCAAUUCUUCGGCGAUCAGCCUUCUUUAUGGUCCAGCUCUCACUUCCAUACAUCACUACUGGGGAAACCAUAGCUUUAACAAUACGGACCUUUGUUGCCAAGGUGAUGUCUCUGCUUUUUAAGAUGCUGUCUAGGUUAGUCAUUGCUUUUCUCCCAAGAAGCAGGCGUCUUUUAAUUUCGUGACUGUUGUCACCAUCUGCAGUGAUCAUGGAACCCAAGAAAGUAAAAUCUCUCACUGCCUCCAUUUCUUCCCCUUCUAUUUGCAAGGAGGUGAUGGGACCAGUGGCCAUGAUCUUCGUUUUUAGUAGAUGGCUUUCCUCAGAUCCUGAGACAGCAAUUUUCAUAGCACAACUGUCCUGAAUCUCCUGCCUUCAUCUCCACUGGAAAGACCUCAAUAAGCAGCUCUAAUGGAAAACAUUCCUUUCUCUGACCCCCUUUUUAUGUUACUGCACCUUUUGCGCUUCAGAGAUCCAUCUGCUUUUUAGUCAAGUAUUUCCUAUGUUUUAUAUUACGUAUAUGGAACCGGCUUGCACACAAUGGGUUUUUUAAAAAAAAAUCCUGAGGAGAACAGGUUUGAAAACCUUGUUUUCUUUCGCUCUGAAUAUCAGACUGGGAGUGAAGAAGAAAAGCACAAACAAAGGGCAUAUUUUUUAAAAAAGAAAGAAAAGAAAAGAAAAGGGGGGAGGGAACAUAACUCAGAUGUUAAGCCAGAGUGUGUGAAAAAUCACUUAGAAACCCUUAGGCAUCUUUCUUUGAAAACAAGACUGGGAGAUUUGAGGGGCAUUGGUGUAGCCCUUAGAGGGAAUCUAGGAUAUUUCAGAGUGAUUGAAGAUCUAGAUAAAGGAAACAGGACAGGCAAGAAAACCCAUGCUAAACAGAAAAGCCACAGGCAGGUUUUGGGUUUUUUUCGCGUUUAGAGUUUCAAAUACAUCUGUAAAAACAAGGAGACUAAAAAGUUUUAAAAUGCUUCGACAUCUAAUAUACUUAGGCUACACAAUCCUAUAGCAAUUUUGCUAGGAGUGAGUCCUACUGAAUACAUACUGUUGAGUAGACAUAUCUAGGGUUGUCUGAAUAAGCAUUCAGCGUCUAGAUAAUAUUGUUAACAGUUUAUGGGGACGGGCUCUCUUCUGAGACUGUGUUUCCCUUCAAGUAUUAUAUCAGAAAGUUUGAAUAUGAUAGAGCUUGGCCUUUAAAUGCAAAUUGUUCCCCUAAUGCCUACUGAGAGGUCAGUAGUAGUGCCUGCGAAAGCUACCAGUUUGGGUCCUAGCCAUCUCCAAUUUGGACUAGGACUUCCGAAUGAAAUCCUGGCAUUCUGCUGCCAGUCAGUGUAGUCAAAGCUGAGUCAGAUGGACCAGGGAACCGACUCCGGCAUAAGGCAGCUUCCUGUGUCCCUAUUAUUGUCUAAAUCCUUUCAACAACCCUUUAAAGUUGGCCAGCCUUUUCAUCCCCAUAUUGCAGACAGGAGAGCUAAGGCUGAAACAUCAUGUCUCAGUUAGGAUCAUGUACUUCAGAGCUUUCCAAAUUGUAUGUCUUGACACAUUAAUGUGUUGGCUGCAGUGUGUAGGUGUGUCAUACAAACACUCCCUGCACUCCUCCAGGGGCUGGAAAGGGGUUAGUUUAACCUCUGUUUUGCUAGUAAAACUGAAUUACUGUGUUGCGAAAUGAUGCAUGUCUAAAAAGUGUCACCAACAUGAAAAGUUUGGAAAGCUUUGAUGUCGUUUACCAACUGCCGAUGUAAAAUGUGAACAAGGGCAUUCCUGAUCAUAUUUCACACUAGGAAGGGUCUUACACAAUUAAAAACAGGAGGUAUAUUUCUUCCCUCUCCCUUGCCCAGAGUUAAAGAUGGCAGCUGCUUAAAUGAUACACAUUUAGGAACAAAAUUCUAACACUGCAGUCCUAUGCAUGGUUACUCACUGUGUGCAAUGGGGCAUAUUCCUGGCAAAAUCUGAAAUUAGGAAUUGCAGCCUAAGCAUGCAGAGAAGCGUCCAAUUGAGCACAGUAGGAUUUAACUUCCAGAGAAACAUAUACUUAGUGUCAGGCUGGAAAGAGACAGGGAUGAAAUGCAGGCGAGGAGGUGAGUCUGAUGUCUUUGGUGACAACCAAAGAGGGAAUUCCUGCAAAAACAGCUUUCCAUACCAUGGUAGUGCAGUGUUGAGUCAAACAGUAAUCUCUCUCUCUCUCUCUCUCUCUCUCUCUCUCUCUCUCUCUCUCACACACACACACACACACACACACACAAAGUUUUCUUUUGUACAAUUUUAAAAACAGCCCAGCACACUCUCACUUGCCCACAAGGGGGAGCCACUACUGCUUUCAUGGUAAUAGAUAUUACAAAACAACAACGGGGGGGGGGGGAGGGAUUGACUAUAGAAAGACCUCAGAGAUUUAUGUUUUCAAAUGGCUUGAAUUUUAAAGCCUAGCUCGUAAUUUUUACCUGGCAGGCUCAUAAUUUUGCAACUACAAAGCUGACAGUAUCAAUACAAGAGAGACUGGCCAGAUUAACUGUCUUGAUCUGCCUGGGCUGAGCAGCUGAAUUUCACCUGGAACACAGACACUUUGUUGUUGUUGUUUUUUGUUUCUUGGUCUUUGCAUUUCAGUGUGGAGCUCCUAGACAAGGGAGGGGGAAAUUGGCCCUACCACCCCACCAGCAGAGUAACAGCAAUGUAACAGGCAGCUGCCCUACCAGCCGUUUCCGUGGAGUUCCUUGAUUAAUGGAGAUGACCAGCUCAGAGAUCUGGACACCAUAUUUUGGGAGAUCUGAAGGAAAUCCAGCAGCCAUGCCUGCCAGGUGGUCCUCUUUGAAGAAGGCAACAUUUGGGGGGCAAGUAGCUCGUGUGUGAUGAUAUAGUCUCUCUCCAAAUCUUAAUUUCUCACCCCUUAAUUCAGCACCCACAGUCACUGCAGCUCGUAUUUCUCUCUCUGCAGGAACCACAUAUGUGGUGCCUCUUACAGCUUUUUGUAAACAAAAUCUGCCCUUAUUCCCUUAUGGGGUAUACAAGAGCCCUUUAUAGAAUCCUUUGUAGGUUCUCCAUCGGUAGGAGAAAAUAACAGAGGCCAACCAGAGAAUAUUGAGAAGCAAAGCAGCUAAUAAGCCUGAUCUUUAUUAUAGCUGUUGCAACAGGGUUCUCCUCUCACACACAGGAGAGAGGACCCAGAACAAAGGUGUGCCUGCCCUUAUACAGACAUUUUAAAUUCCCUGCCCUGGAGCUCAAGGCCACCCCUCCAUACAUCAUACAUACACCACAGAAGGGGUGUAAACCAAAGACCACCCCCCACAAACAUCAUACCUACAUCAUAGAAAUUUGAAUGUUGUUUUUCCUGUCUGCCAGGUUAUCUGAUAAUGCCUUAUCUGAUUGCCUUUCCUGGUAGUAUGGCCAUUCCUUUCAGAUGGUGAUUACCCAGUUCCUGAGACAAUGGGAAGGUUCCCUCACCCCCUCCCUCCUUGCAGAGAAAACAUUUGGUCAGUUUGGGAGUCAAAAUGGUUUCAGGACGGUCUUCCUGUGCUGCUCCAGACAUGUGGUUCACAUAUCUAUGUACAUGCUUGGUUGGUACAUUUAUGAACAUUUAUUAUAUAUAUAAGACCUUAAAUUUUUUUAUUACAACUAAAAAAGUCUCAGCCUAUAUGCCAUCAAAAAUCCACAAAUGCAUGAGAGACUAUUUGCUCUUCUUGCUCAAUUCCUGCUUGCACUAACUUGGUCUCUUCUACAUUCAACAUAAUCCUUCAGACAUGCCCACACAGCAUUGGAUGCCAGGAUGGAACAUUCUCCCUCCCUUCUGUUUUGAACAAAGAAGUGCAAAGAGCUUCUCUUUGUGGAUGAGGUUCUCAGCGAUGGCUUGUGCAGAUGCCUUUAUUCCAUUGAUGGGUCGGGGGACUUUUGGGAAGCAUGCCCACACCCCAUUGUGGUCCCGUCUCAUUUUUAAGGUGUAGCAGUCAUUUUGCGCCACAUCCUCCCAUGAGAUCCAUUUUAAUCUUUUGCCAAGCUCCAUGGCACCCAUUUUGAGCAAUGUCAUACCACCCACCCACCCCAGCAUGGCAUCCAUUACAUGAGAAAUGCUCUCAACAGUCUCUCAAAAUUCUCAACAUGGCUUUUUUAGGGUUUCAAAUGUAUGCAGGUGUAGAAGAAGGUUGUUUUUCCCCACUAAGAUUUUAUUAAGACCUUUCCUAGCACAUUAUGAUAAAUAAACCUAAUCUAAACAAAAGAAAAACACAAGGAGAAAAAGAAGAAUGCAAAGUCCUCUCUCAUAGGUAGACCUUAAGUUGCGUUACACAGAAAGAGAUGAACCCUCCCAGCUCCUACACAGGAGCUUUGAUUUCUUCUCCCAGCUUCUCACCCUGGGAGAUCUUGCUUGCCUCUCACACAGGGUCCUCCACCAACCAUCCAUCACCUUCAUCUGCAUGCAAACUCCUCAUUAACCCUGAGCACAGGACGACAAAAUAUACAAAAGAACAGAGCAAAGCAGAAGCAAGAACAAAGCAAAAAAAGGAAAAGAAAAGAUAACAGAGAUAAAAAAAUGUUAAAGGAAUAAGAAAAUAAUAAAGGAAUUUUUAAAAGAAAGAGAAAUAAAUAAGUAAAAAGGGGCUUCCAAUAGUUUUUCAAAAAUAUUCAGAUGUUCACUCCAGGGUGGCAUCUAUUGUAGCUGUUCCUCCUUCUGCUGGAUGAUUUUUCCAGUCUUCAAGUCCAGGCAUCUCUCUGGGUUCUUUGAAGAUUUCUCAGUUCCACGGCAGAAGAGUAGCCCUUCCACAGCAUUGGAUAUUAACCCCGUUGUCUCUGUUCCUCAGAAAUAAUAUGAUAGGCAGUAGCCAUCGUUAAUCACCACCUAAUUAUCUCUGUUGAUUGAGUCUCGACAGGAGACGUCUAAACAGCCAUGAUUCCUUCCCAGAAGUACUUCAGGUAUAGAAGAGGGUUAUGAAGCAGGGUGUGUAUGGAGAAAACACAGCUGAAAGGGAGGGGAAAUAGGACUAAGAGGAUAAUGGCAGUGAAUCUGAAAGGCAGAACCACAAGAAGACAAGGAAACAGCAAUGGAGGCUUCCCAGCUCCACAUUAUGAAGAUCUGAUGGUAGGCAGUGGUAGUGAAAUUAUGUACUGUGUCACUGCAUCUAGGUUAAAAGUGGUUGACACCCCCAAUUUUUUUUAAAAAGGGCAUAUCCCCAAGUAUAUCAGAGAGAAAGCUUUAACAUAGUCCUCUCUGUAACAUAUCAUAUAAAAAAGACAUUUUUAUAUUUGCCAUCAGAAUCGGUACAGUCGAGAAUUCUACCCCCUCUUUCUGAGUAGUGUUCAGAGCUUCUCUGAACAGGCAGAAAUUAAUAGGGCACCAAGCUGGAAAUUUGGAAGGGAAAUGUAUUGUCUCUUAUUGUUCAGAUAAGCAAAUAAAUAAAUGGGAAUACCAACUUUUAAACUGUGAUGUUAACUUCUGCUUACAGGCUAGCACAGAUAACAGAUUUCACAAAAGAGAACAUCGCACCCAUGCCUUGCCUUCGUAAAAUUAAUUUUGACACAGUUUGGGCCAGGAGUUGGGGUGGGGAGACCAAUAAACAAUACUUGUACUGGUGAGAGGUUACUUAUUGUUGCAUGCAAGUAUGAGAUGAAGAAAGCUGUCACAUUGGUGCCUAAUGUACUGAGUAAUGGCCUUCUGUAACAAGUGCUUUUGCAUUGUUCACAUAAUGACAGAUGCAGG